UACAGAGGGUGCGAGCGUUAAUCGGAAUUACUGGGCGUAAAGGGUGCGUAGGCGGUAAUAUAAGUUAGGUGUGAAAGUCCUGGGCUUAACCUGGGGAUUGCGCCUGAUACUGUAUCACUAGAGUACUGUAGAGGAAAGUGGAAUUUCCGGUGUAGCGGUGAAAUGCGUAGAUAUCGGAAGGAACAUCAGUGGCGAAGGCGACUUUCUGGACAGUGACUGACGCUGAGGCACGAAAGCGUGGGGAGCAAACAGG
rnacentral:rRNA from 1 species